rnacentral:tRNA from 1 species
GGGCCCAUAGCUCAAUUGGUCAGAGUCGCCGGCUCAUAACCGGUUCGUUGCAGGUUCGAGUCCUGCUGGGCCUA